rnacentral:rRNA from 4 species
CCCUCCCCAGUGAGAAUGCCCUUAAUAUCAAUCUAGAUCAAGAGGAGCAGGUAUUAAGCACACUAACUAGUAGCUCAAGAUGCCUUGCUUAACCACACCCCCAAGGGAUACAGCAGUGAUAAAAAUUUAGCAAUGAACGUAAGUUUGACUAAGCUAUGCUACUCCAGGGUUGGUAAAUUUCGUGCCAGCCACCGCGGUCAUACGAUUAACCCAAACUAAUAAACACCCGGCGUAAAGCGUGAUUAGAACAUAAGAAAAAAAAAUAAAAUCAAAUAACAACUAAGCUGUAAAAAGUAAUAGUUAUAAACAAAAAUAAACAACGAAAGUGAUUUUAUAACCUUCGAACUCACGAUAGCUAAGAUCCAAACUGGGAUUAGAUACCCCACUAUGCUUAGCCCUAAACCUAGAUAAUUCCAGAACAAAAUUAUUCGCCAGAGAACUACAAGCCAGAGCUUAAAACUCAAAGGACUUGGCGGUGCUUUAUACCCGCCUAGAGGAGCCUGUUCUAUAAUCGAUAAACCCCGAUAAACCUUACCACUCUUUGCCAAUUCAGCCUAUAUACCGCCAUCUUCAGCGAACUCUAAAAAGGAGCAAAAGUAAGCUCAAUCAUCACCAUAAAAACGUUAGGUCAAGGUGUAGCCUAUAGAGUGGAAAGCAAUGGGCUACAUUUUCUACUUUAGAACACACGAAAGCCCCUAUGAAACUCUAGAGGCCAAAGGAGGAUUU